CGUGGUAUCCUGUCUGAAUAUGGGGGGACCAUCCUCCAAGGCUAAAUACUCCUGACUGACCGAUAGUGAACCAGUACCGUGAGGGAAAGGCGAAAAGAACCCCGGCGAGGGGAGUGAAAAAAGAACCUGAAACCGUGUACGUACAAGCAGUGGGAGCACAGGUUUACCUGUGUGAUGCGUACCUUUUGUAUAAUGGGUCAGCGACUUAUAUUC
rnacentral:rRNA from 1 species